UACGGGCAGACUUGAGUACUGCAGGGGAGACUGGAAUUCCUGGUGUAGCGGUGGAAUGCGCAGAUAUCAGGAGGAACACCGGUGGCGAAGGCGGGUCUCUGGGCAGUAACUGACGCUGAGGAGCGAAAGCGUGGGGAGCGAACAGGAUUAGAUACCCUGGUAGUCCACGCCGUAAACGGUGGGUACUAGGUGUGGGUUUCCUUCCUUGGGAUCCGUGCCGUAGCUAACGCAUUAAGUACCCCGCCUGGGGAGUACGGCCGCAAGGCUAAAACUCAAAGAAAUUGACGGGGGCCCGCACAAGCGGCGGAGCAUGUGGAUUAAUUCGAUGCAACGCGAAGAACCUUACCUGGGUUUGACAUGCACAGGACGCCGGCAGAGAUGUCGGUUCCCUUGUGGCCUGUGUGCAGGUGGUGCAUGGCUGUCGUCAGCUCGUGUCGUGAGAUGUUGGGUUAAGUCCCGCAACGAGCGCAACCCUUGUCUCAUGUUGCCAGCGGGUAAUGCCGGGG
rnacentral:rRNA from 1 species